UUCAAGGAUGAAAUUAGGAAGCUCUAGGCCAGGAUGCUUGGUGCGACAUCGCUACUAACAGCCACAGCCAGCAAGUGGGCAGAUGGUGAAUGUCACUCUGCUCAUUCAAAGGGGUUGGUUAAAAGGGAUCCAGCAAACUCUAGAAGAGCAAGCGUCUCUUCUACUUGUCCAGCCUCAUUAGACUCUAAAGCAAAAAUAACUUCCUGGGGGAAAGACACUUUGGUGUCUGGGGACGGAAAGCAUGAAUCAUCGGUGUAUUACUGGGUGCCUGAGCAUCCAAAUAACACGCCCGGUGCUGGUACAGAGCAAAGACUAUCUCCUCUCGGCAUUGGAAAGGCCACUGUGGAAAGGCCAACGACAGCUCAGGAGUACACGGUGAUGAUCUUGCUGGCCCAUAACAAGAGAUGAACUAUAGUCAAAAAGGAGGAGCAUGCAGAAACACCUCCAGUGCACGAUAUAUGCAUUCCAUAUCCAGAUGUGUAACGUAGGAAUGCGGGGAUUCGGGGCAGAGUGAAGAUUGAGAAAAUACAAAGAUCUAGCACUCA